rnacentral:lncRNA from 1 species
UUCCUCUGCCUGGCCCUUCUCCAUGCCUCACGUGCCCAUCUCGGGGCAGUGCCCUCUCCAGGACCCCCUGCCACUGGGUACCUUAGAAUGGCACCGUUUGGAGAGGGCACUGAGGGAAGCCCAAGGCUUUAGAGACCUCAUCGUGGAGUAGCAUCCAUCUCGGCCGGCAGCUCUGCUGAGCAUCACAAAGAACCACCUGACCAUGCAGAGAAUCCAAAGGAUCAGGAAGAGGGGACAGGAACCAGUGGGGGCCAUGGAAACCCAAAAUGGUGGGCUUGGGGAUGCGCAACCCACAGGCCUUUCGCGGAGUGCUUUGGUGACUGUUUAGCUCUAAGCAGCUCCCAUCCAUGAGUCCUUUCUUGGGAAAUCCUUUGAUCUCUCUGCUUGUCCCUAACAGCACUCAACGCAGGUCUGCGCAGGGGUUUGAACAGAGGGAGGGGCUCGUGAAGACUAGAGUCUGUGCUCAGAGCAGCCAGGCAGCAUCCUCCACACCCCGUGUCCCCACAUAGCCCUCCUGUCCACCCUCUCAGCUGCCCGACCCACAAGGCAGCUGGGCGGUGUUGGCAGAACUGAGGCUGAGCACUGUGGGCUUCUACGCCUUCCCCCUGACCAUCCCAGAAAGAGGCUGGACCAAGGAGAGCGGGAAGCUCCACACUUGCUGAGCAGGUGUCUGCAAGCCUGUUUUGGCUGUUUACUCUGCUAAAUGCUCAUCUGUGUCAGCGAAAAGAGAACACACACAUGCUUUUUUUUUCUAUCCCUGAUACAUAUCCUGGGAAGUAAGCAGUUGAAGUGAGUUUGUUUCUUACUAUUAAAAAAAAAAAAUAA